UGCAGGAUUCAAAUGACUGGUGCAAUUGAAUAUGUAAGCAUAUUCAAUUGCACCAGUCAUUUGAAUCCUGCA